rnacentral:rRNA from 1 species
UACGGAGGGGGCUAGCGUUGUUCGGAAUUACUGGGCGUAAAGCGCGCGUAGGCGGAUCGUUAAGUCGGGGGUGAAAUCCUGGAGCUCAACUCCAGAACUGCCUUUGAUACUGGGGGAUCUCGAGUCCGGGGAGAGGUGAGUGGAACUGCGAGUGUAGAGGUGAAAUUCGUAGAUAUUCGCAAGAACACCAGUGGCGAAGGCGGCUCACUGGCCCGGAACUGACGCUGAGGUGCGAAAGCGUGGGGAGCAAACAGGG